rnacentral:lncRNA from 9 species
AGACUCUCCAUCACCCCCAGCUUCCUUCCAACUGGGACAAGACCUGAGCUGAAGAGCGGAUCUCAGCCCACUUGGAUGUCACCAAAUCUGGUGAGACGGAGAACCGCGCAUGCCCAGGCCGGGCUCCCACAAGCAGUUGGGAAGAUGACGUCAUCCAAGCCAAGGUGCUUCCCUGAGUGAGAAUUUGGAGACAGGCUGGCCAGAGGUGACCCUUUUCAUCCACCCUAGGUUUUUUGUUUGAAAUAUUCAGUUCCCGAAAUACAUUAUGUAGUCUCUGCCUCCUUCAGUGUAUAAAUACAGUGUUGCCCUGUAAUAAUUAGAAUCAUUGUCAUGAACAGAGGUCAUAAUGGGUGGUGUUCCUGUUUGGGCUUGGCGACCGCAGGGACGAGUUCUCAGGCCUGAUCUGCAGCUCAAAGACCGUCUCUGUCGUUCUGAGGCUGGCAGAGGCACGAUGCUGCUGGAGGGGCAAACAGCCUCCCUCCACCCCAGCGAUGGAAACACAAGGCACGACCACAGUGCUUACAGGAGGGGAAAAGAAGAGUGCAUGCGAUAGGACAGCAGGUGAGAGGGGUGGAGGGGUGGGUGGGGGCGGGCAGGCCAAUGCCGCAUCGGUGGCCCAGUCCUCUGUGGAGGUGCACCUGUGAUCUGGUGCCCAGAGCCAGGAAACGCUGGAGACGCAAAACUCCCUCUUCUCACCACAUAGGG